rnacentral:rRNA from 1 species
AUUGAACGCUGGCGGCAUGCCUUACACAUGCAAGUCGAACGGUAGCGCGGGGUAACCUGGCGACGAGUGGCGAACGGGUGAGUAAUGCAUCGGAACGUGCCCUGGGAAUGGGGGAUAACGUAGCGAAAGUUACGCUAAUACCGCAUAUUCUGUGAGCAGGAAAGCAGGGGAUCGCAAGACCUUGCGUUCUGGGAGCGGCCGAUGUCGGAUUAGCUAGUUGGUGGGGUAAAGGCCUACCAAGGCGACGAUCCGUAGCGGGUCUGAGAGGAUGAUCCGCCACACUGGGACUGAGACACGGCCCAGACUCCUACGGGAGGCAGCAGUGGGGAAUUUUGGACAAUGGGCGGAAGACCUGAUCCAGCCAUGCCGCGUGAGUGAAGAAGGCCUGGUUCGUAAGUACGUC